rnacentral:rRNA from 1 species
UACGGAGGGUGCGAGCGUUGUCCGGAAUCACUGGGCGUAAAGGGCGCGUAGGCGGCCCGGUAAGCGUGUGGUGAAAGCCCGGGGCUCAACCCCGGGUCGGCCGUGCGAACUGCUGGGCUGGAGCACUGUAGGGGCGGGUGGAAUUCCGGGUGUAGCGGUGGAAUGCGUAGAGAUCCGGAAGAACACCAGUGGCGAAGGCGGCCCGCUGGGCAGUUGCUGACGCUGAGGCGCGACAGCGUGGGGAGCAAACAGG